rnacentral:rRNA from 1 species
UACAUAGGGUGCAAGCGUUGUCCGGAUUUACUGGGCGUAAAGCGCGCGUAGGCGGCAAUUCAAGUCAAACUUUAAAUACUCCUGGCUUAACCGGAGUUUGGGUUUGAUACUGUUUUGCUGGAGAUUGGGAGAGGAAAGUGGAACAAACAGUGUAGCGGUGAAAUGCGUAGAUAUUGUUUGGAACACCCAUGGCGAAGGCAACUUUCUGGACCAAUUCUGACGCUGAGGCGCGAGAGCGUGGGUAG